UACAAACAAAUACAGAGGGGUUGGGUGCAGGCUUUUUGCUUGCAACAAUAGGGUCUUGGAUGCCCCAUUAAAAAGGGUUGUAAUGGGGGCAUAGUGCUUUCUCAACUUUUUGUAGUUGAUAUGGUCUCUAACACAGCCAACUUAUCGUUACUGGAAGAGCCCAGCCUGGUGGUGCUGCACAGCCUGGUGUGCUCACCCUCUAAGCAAUGACACCCCAAUUAAUGGUCAUGGUGAGGACUGUUGAGGGCCCCUGCCAAAAUCUGAGAGGUCUCUCAGAUUGGUUCCAGCUGGGACUCUCUAAUUAAAGGUCAUAAUCAGAAGUAAAGGGAGCAGAUAAGUACUACCCACUUCUGCAGUAGCUGAGUAGGAAGCAGAUAAAUUGGCAUAUCCCUCUUUCUAAAGGAUUUCAGAUGGUACCAAUUUGUUCAACAAUCCUCAGUUAAGAAAGCAUUGGCAGUCAGUAAAGGAGGGGGUCAUGUGCCUUCCUUCUUCUUUAGCAGAUAAAUAAAGGGGACACAGCCAGUUUUCAUAUGGCCAAUACACCUUGUCUCAUCCAGAGAAGCAGAGACUGCUCAAGGAUCCUGACUCACUAACGUGGUGUUCAUCUCUGAGUUUCUGAUCCUACUUGUCCUUCUACCAGCAGCCAAGACACAAGGCAAAAGUGAAAGUGCAACCACUCCUCUGCUCCUUCCCUCCCAGCAGCACCCUGCCCGUCUGGGGGUGGUGGAACCACGCUUGGACCCUCUCCCCUUGGAUGUGGGUGCAUCUCCAGCCCAGCUGUUACCACAGCCUCCGGUUCACGCACUUUCCAAGAAAACAGCAGCUGCUGCUAUUACAUUUCAGGUGAUGCUCGGAGCAGUUGUCACCCAUUGCAUGCUUGCAAAGAGAUGGGAUUUUUGAGAAACUGCACUUGAUAUCUCUGCUCCUUCCUAGAUAUGGAGCAGUAGGAGGUGAGGUUGCUGGGAAAGCUGGUGCUGAAGAAAAUCAGCUGCUGACAGGCUUAGGAGAGGCGGAGCAGGGAUGCCCUGAUGCCAUCACUCCUGCCCCAGCUCUAGGUCUGGUCCCAGCUCUUAUGAUCUGCACAAGAUGUGCUCAGUAGCUUCCCCAAAGGUGCUCAUGGGAAAUGUCAUCAUGGAUUUAGAAGUGUUCUCAGAGUGGAGUUUUAUCAUGUUUUUAGAGUGGGAAAGAGAUUCUCCUCAUUUGUAACUAAUUUUCAAUGUUUUUAUGCCACAAGUACUCCAGGAUUAGCCUCUUAUAGACUAAGAGAGUUUAAGAGACUUCAGUUUAAGGAACAACACAUGCAGCAAGUUUACGGAUUUCCUAAUGAUUUCAAAUAUCACUUACAUCACUCUAGAAGACACCAAGUCCAUGAGAGAUAAUAUAAACCUCUUCCUUGUUCUAGUUCUUGAGAUACAGCUAAAUGCUGCAGACACAUUACUGUGACUGAAUGCAUAUAAUAGGUAUUUGUGCAUGCAAAUGGCCAGUUAUAUGUGAGCAAGUAAUUACCUGAUUUGCAUGCCCAGACAUGGUAAUUCAAAUGUAAAUUAGCUGUGCAGUUGCAGAUAUACUUUGCAUGUACAGUUGGCUAUUUGUAAAAAAAUGUAUAUUUUUGUCCAGCCAAAAGACCCUUUCACCCUCCUCAAAAUGAGAUAUAAGUGGGCCUUAAGUGGCACAUGCUUACAUCUGCCCAGGGGUGAAUGUCGUCUGUAUGAAUAUAUACGCAAGAACUGCUCUGCCCAAACUGGAGCUCAACUUUAUUUAUAGAAAGCAGCAACAAAGUGUUUCUGUCAACACCCACCAAAAUCAAUACGAGUCUUCCUAAUGGCUUAAAUGGACUUUGAAUCCAGCCUAGAUGGAGCAAGGAUAUUUCUUAAAUUAUUUUUAAAAGAGGAAGUGUCAUGCACAAAUAUGUUAAUAGAUUAGUAGAGAUCUGCAAGUCUCUAUAAACCAGUGGUGAUUAUACAGCUGCAUGUCCUUGGAUUUAAAGUUCCCUUACCAAAACUUUUGAAACUAUUUUGAUGAUGCUGAAAUAGAAAAAAUAUUUACUUAGAGAAACAUUUUGCUUCUGCUUUUGCAAACUUCAAAAACAAAGUAACACAAGAACGAUUAUUAUAUUUCCAAAGUUAGUAAUGAUGUGUUUUUGUACAACACUAUUGCUAUAUGCAAAUAGUUACAUUUUUUCUUUAUGAAACAAUUUCAUUAUUUGCAUUGCUACUAGUGGCUCACCAAUAAAGACGAACAUCACAUUAGGAUUCAUGACAGUUUUCACAUUGUAUUAUCAAUAUGUGGAAAUAAUUGUCUGCUCCGGGAUUAAAUUACAUUAUUGUGUAUCUUUUUCAUGCCUAAUAAAUAAUGAUGGAUGGCUUUUAUUUUCAUCACCACCUGCAACCAUUUAGUCACCCCUUGAUUGCUGAAGAUAAAAUAAUAAAAGGCAAGUGUUAUGUUGCAAGCAAAAGAAUGCAGUCAAAACAGUUGCAUACCUUGUGUUUCUGUCUACCUUUUUCAAGUCCCUAUAGAGUAAUAGAUGGCGUUCUGGGAAGGCUGGCAACCUGCAAACUGGCAAACAGUUCUUAUAAAUUGGACAAGUGGGGAAAAUGUGGAAAACAUUUUUUUCCUCAUAAAACAAUAAUUAUUUCUUAGUGCAUGAUUCAUAAUCUGAAAAUUAGGUUUUUGUUCUGCUGUGAAAAUCAGUUACAUGCAAUUAGAAUGCAAAGCAGAGGCACAUUCAUAGUGUUUAGCCCUUUUAAAUAGAAAUGAAAACAGCCUGCAAAUUGUACCAAAGUUUAAAAUGCAUACUAGGUAAUUCUGAAAUUCAAAGAAAUAAAACCAUGCAUAAUAAAAACCCCACUCUAGCUCA